rnacentral:lncRNA from 10 species
ACUCUCUUCUUACCUAUACUAAGGAGGAUUAUUAACAGAAAUACUAAUAAGUGCAAUUACCUGGACUGAUAAUUGUGAACAAUGAGAAAUGAGAGAAAGAGAAAAAUAAAAAAAAAAAAGCCGUACGUUUGCUCAGUGUUGAUGUUAUUUGCUUUAUCAGGAUAUACACAAAAGAUGAAAGAAGGGAUAUAAGAAGGCAAGAAUAAAUUUAUGGCAGUGGCAAAAUGUAAGACUAUGCCAGUUAUAAUAGCAAAUGUUUAUUGAGUCUCUGUUGUGUUCCAAUUACUAUUCUAAGUACCUUAUAUACAUUAUUUAAUUUAACCUGCACAACAACUCUAUGGAAGCUACUGUUAUUUUUCUUGCUUUAUAGACAAGGAAGCUGAAGCACAGAGAGAUUCCAUACCUUUCUUACAAACCCCCAGUUAGUAAGUGGGGAAGUCAUGUUUGUAUGAACAAUGUAGUUUUGCCCUACAGCCCAACGUGGCAGCAUGAGGAGUGCCACUUGGAUCUCUCUUUAAGAAAGAUUUGCUCUUUGGCUGCAAAGAGUGAAGUUGGCUGAUGGUGUCUAACUCCAACAUCUAACUUCUGAAUCAAGACUGAGCUCUUUUUGGACUUCCCCAGCCAACGAUGAGUGUGGCAGAGGUACCAGAGUCAGGCUGUCCAUUGUGGGUCUUCUCUAAUGAGCAACUUCGCUUCAAAGCCCCUUUGCCAGAAGAGACUUUGACAGAUCUGUAUCUUAGUCUAAGACGUUCCUUUUCUUUUUCUUUUUUUUCUGGCUCUGAAGGCUUCUUUUGCAUGUCUCCUCUGCACUUUGCUCUGCCGCCAUGCCAAUAAAUUCCUUGCACCUAACUCUAUCUCAACAACUGCUUCUCAGAGAGUAGAGACAUGAUCAGUCCAGACACAUGAUCAUUACUCCCCAAAAGCAUAGUAUAAACUGAACUUGUGACUUCUUGGUGAAAUUAAGAAUGUUUACGUAUAGUAUGUGCCAAACAUUGUGCUAAAGCUUUAUAUUUACACUGGGUGCAGUGGCUCACGCCUGUAAUCCCAGCAUUUUGGGUGGCCGACAUGGGUGGAUCACCUGAGGUCAGGAGUUCAAGACCAGCCUGGCUAACAUGGCGAAGCCCUGUCUCUACUAAAAACACAAAAAUUAGCCAGGUAUGGUGGUGUGUGCCUGUAAUCCCAGCUACUCAGGAGGCUGAGGCACGAGAAUCACUUUAACCUGGGAGGCGUAGGUUGCAGAAAGCCAAGAUCGUGCCACUGCACUCCAGCCUGGGUGACAGAGCAAGGAUCUGUCUCAAAUAAUAAUAAUAAUAAUAAUAGCUUUAUAUUUACAUUAUGUGACCCUUUAGUUCUUAUUACAAAUUUGUGUUAUACAUUAUCUUUUCUUAGAAUUACAAACGAAGAAAAGACAGCUUCUAGAAAGUAAGAAAUUUGCAGAAACUGAUGAAUAAAACAAUAUUAUGAUUCACACCUAUGUCUUCUUGAUGCCACAAAACCAACCUAUUUCUGUAGAAGACAAUUAAUACAUAGCUUUCUAAAGAUACUUAUAAAGAGACUAUUGAUGAAUGCACUUACAGAAAGAGCAAGGACACGUGAUGCAGAAGCAACUGGAAUCCAGGAACAGAACUCCUCCAGGUGUCUCCAUUCCUUUCUGCGUCUCUCCAUGUGUCGUCUUUUCAAUGCAGAGAAAGUUGCAUAUUAUUAUGCAUAAGAAAUUUACAGCUUACAAAGCCUUGCAAGAACUCUUGAGACCAGUUGGGAAAGACAGAGAAAGAGAGAGAGAAAAAAUUGACUUCUGCUUAAAUCGUGUUAAAAAAACAAAAUGUAAAACUUAAAACAUUUCCAAAGAAGUUCUCCACCAGUUAAAUGAGGUAAUAAUAUCUAGGUUAAAAAUUCCAAAUCAUAUCAUUAAAGGUAGAGACUAAGAUUUGAGACAGGCACUUGUGAUAAAAGUGUACUAAACUCCUUGAAUAAGUUGGGCAAAGUACAGGAAGUAGACAAAAAAAAUAAUUAAUAGAAAAUAAGUUUUGAAAAUUGUACCUUUUAUUACAUUAUUAUUAAUUGACAAAUAGUGAAAAUAUGCUAAGCAACUGACUCAGGAAAAAGAAUAAUAACCUACGCUAAUAUUAUGAAAUUAAGACUUAUUAAAAUAAAAUCAGCAAUAAAUAAGAUAAAAAUGUAAUAGAUAAAUUAAAUAUUUGAUUUUCUUGAAAAAGAAGAUGUGGACAAACUUCUGGGAAACAGAAGUAAAAAUACACAGGAUUAACUGAAAAAAACAAUUAGAGAUGGCUGAGAACAUUUGAAAAUUAGAGAAUAACAUUCAAUUUUCUAUAAAUACAUUUAAAAUUUUCUUAAAAGUAGAUAUUUUUCUACCAAAAUACAAAUUAUGAAGACUAAUUUAAACAGAUGUAGAGAAUCCAAAAUGGACCAAUGGUGAAGGAAGAAAUGAAAAAAAAGACAAAAUAUUGUCAAGAACCCACACCCACACAAAACUAAUCUUAUGUUCUUAUAGAAUAUACAAAAGGUGGAGCUCAUUUUUAUGUAGGCAGUACAAUAAAAUAUGAAACCUAAAAAAUAUACUCUUGCAUAACUCCUCAAAAGAAUUCUAGGAUAAUAGAUUUUAAAUCUAAGUAGUAAAACUUAAGAAAACAAAUGAGUACUCAUUCAAUAUUAAGGCAGAAUGGAUUUUGUAAACUUGAGCUAAUCAGAUGAAACUGUGGAGCGUAGUCUGCUUUUACUAUGUAAAUAGGAAAAAAAUGAAUAACGUUGCAAAGUAAAUAACCUAUGGCAAACACUUUGUAAUUUGAUAGAAAACAUUAUUUUCUCAGCAUCUAAAAUAUUCUGGCAGAUUAAUCACAAAACAUGAAUACCUGAAUUUAAAAUGAAAAUUUAGACCAGUAUAUGAAUGGGAGAUUCACAACAGAAAAUUUAUAAAUAACUGAUAAAACCUUGUAGAUAUAUUCAAUGUUUUUUGUAUUAAAAAAAUGGAAAUUAAAGAUAAAUUGAAAUACCAUAUUUUUAUUUGUAAAUUUGGCAAAAGCUCUAAUAUCCAGGGUUGGAGAAAAUACUUACAAUGUGGUUUCACACACAGUCUUGUCAAGAGCAUAAAUUUGUACAAUUUUUCUAGAAAGAAAUUUUAUAAUUUGUGUAGGAAACCAUGAAACCCUGCGAGAAUUUGUAUUAUAAAUAAUACUUUCAGGAAUUUAUCCUAAAGACACAAUCGAGGGUGAACAUUAAGCUUUAUAUAAAAAUACUUUCCUAAAAAAUUAUUUAAAAUAAUGAUGAUAAUAACUGGAACAAACCAGAAUGUACAUUGAGAGAUGACUGGUUAAUUUAUGAAACACCAUGUGAUAAAAUAUGGUUUAGUCAAUAAUGUUAAUAAUAAAAUAAAUAUUUAUUUACAUGGAAAGAUAUAUAUUUUAACUAUAAAAUAUUUUUGACAGAGUAGAAUGCUAUUCUGUAUAUUUAAAAAUGAAAAUUUUUAUAACAAAUAAUAGCCGCUCCUAACUGCGAUAAGUAACUUUGCAGACUUUUGUAUGCAUAUUCAUGUAACAUUAACAGAUAAUAGUUAUUCCACACACAAAGACUAUUUUGAUGUAAGCAAAGAAUUGGCUUUUUAAAAAUUGUGUACAUAAAAAUGUAGUCUGGAUAAUAAACUUUGAC